rnacentral:rRNA from 1 species
ACGAACGCUGGCGGCAGGCCUAAUACAUGCAAGUCGAGCGCGCCCUUCGGGGUGAGCGGCGGACGGGUGAGUAACGCGUGGGAAUAUGCCCUUCUCUAAGGAAUAGCCUCUGGAAACGGAGAGUAAUACCUUAUACGCCCUUUGGGGGAAAGAUUUAUCGGAGAGGGAUUAGCCCGCGUUAGAUUAGGUAGUUGGUGGGGUAAUGGCCUACCAAGCCUACGAUCUAUAGCUGGUUUGAGAGGAUGAUCAGCCACACUGGGACUGAGACACGGCCCAGACUCCUACGGGAGGCAGCAGUGGGGAAUCUUGC